rnacentral:ncRNA from 1 species
AGCCAAUGACAGGGGCGUUUGUUGUAAAAGACGAGCUGAGAAGCACCCUUUGAACCUGAACCAGAUCAUGCUGGCGGAGGGAGUCGGUCGAGCGGCACU